rnacentral:rRNA from 1 species
UACGGAAGGUCCGGGCGUUAUCCGGAUUUAUUGGGUUUAAAGGGAGCGCAGGCGGACUGUCAAGCGUGCCGUGAAAGCGCGGGGCUCAACCCCGUACAGCGGCGCGAACUGGCGGUCUUGGUUGCGGGAAGGGGAGGCGGAACUCGUGGUGUAGCGGUGAAAUGCAUAGAUAUCACGAAGAACUCCGAUCGCGAAGGCAGCCUCCCGGCCCGUCAACGACGCUCAUGCUCGAAGGCGCGGGUAUC